GUCUCCAGACAUACUAUUCUGAACACGUCCGAUCUCCUCUGAUCUCAGACACUAAGCAGGUUUGGGCCUGGUUAGUGCUUGGAUGGUGAUAGGAAAGAAUCCAUCACCUUGGGAAUA
rnacentral:rRNA from 1 species